CUCGUGUCACUAUUGAUCAAACUCUAAGGGGCGCCGAGUGGCAGAAUUUUGGCCAGACGAGUCGAGCAUCUGUCAGAGUCUCUACAGCUGUUUAGGAGAGUGUCUGUGGGCCGCGCGGAGCUCGAUGAUAUUGGUGAAGCUGCUGAACUUCAAUGCUGCGAACGCAAGGGACAAAACAACACGAAUAAAGAAACUUGCACAGGUUUGGAACAAC